UCCUGACAUUGCACCAUAAUCACAAGAUCAUUUCUACAUGGCCAGUCAGAAUGACAAGCACAGUAUAACUCAGCAUCAGUGAAAAUGCUGCAUGACAUCUUGUCAAUAUUUUAUAACAACAUCUGAGACAAAGUUGGCUCAAAUGUCUAACAAGGAGGAAGGGCUGUUAACUUUCUGCAAGACACUGACAUUUCCUGGUAAAAUAAUUGGCAAUGCUUAACAAGAAGGUAUGCAUAAAAUCCUAAGUAAUUACAGAAACACAACAAACCAGAAACGUUGCUGCUUAGUCCUAAUUAAUGAAUACCUCACACAUGGUUCCUGAAAAAUACUUAAUAGGCUAUGCUCUAUAGUCUGCAUCCAUUUUACAAAUGUACUUUGACAUUAUAUGCUUAUUUGCUCUGUAGACGACCUUUAAUAAAUAGUUCAGUUCAUAACCCCUAGUGAAACAAACCAAAACUACCACACAGUGCAGUUAAAAAAAGACUUUAUUACUGAGACACACACACACACACACACACACACACACACACACACACACACAGGUGUCAGUCAUCAUAACAAACAAAUGCUGCUGAUAGUGUUUGUUUUUUUUAAGAUAUUCAUUAUGAUAGCAGAACUAUAGUAAAAAUAAUAAUACUAAUAAUAAUAAAUAUAUAAAUAAUAGGUCAGAUGUUUUAUGCAAAAGGAUAAUGAAAAAAACAAACAUCAAGACUAGAGUCAAACAGCCCCUGUUACGACUGUCUUAAUGUCGGUUCCUGCGGACUGGCAACGUAUUUGAUGACACCGCCAUGGACGGCCAGCCAUUCAUCCUCGGCCCAUCCCAACCCGCAGACUUUGUUACCUGUCUAGUGAUGUUUGUUUUACACAGGAGCACGUAGGACUGCCUUUUUGUUUAAUUACAGUUUUCUUAAGUUUUUUUUAGUUAGGGAGGUAAGUUGCUGUCAUUUGGUUUAAUUCUUUUGAGUAGGCAAGUUUGAUUUAUCCUUGAGAUAGGCUCCUUUUUGUUUGCUGUUCUGCUGUUAGGUCCACCCUAAAGUUAUAGUCUGCUCCUUUCCCUGUUUUAAAUCCACUCAUUGUAAAUAAAUCACCAUCAAACUGUA
ensembl:lncRNA